UGUGUGUGUGUGUGUGUGUGUGUGUGUGUGUGAGCACACAUACACACACACAUAAACACACAUAUG